rnacentral:rRNA from 1 species
UAUUGCGCAAUGGGGGGAACCCUGACGCAGCAACGCCGCGUGAGUGAAGAAGGCCUUCGGGUUGUAAAGCUCUUUAAUCAGGGACGAAGAAUGACGGUACCUGAAGAAUAAGCUCCGGCUAACUACGUGCCAGCAGCCGCGGUAAUACGUAGGGAGCAAGCGUUAUCCGGAUUUACUGGGUGUAAAGGGAGCGUAGGCGGCCUGGCAAGUCUGGUGUGAAAUACCGGGGCCCAACCCCGGGACUGCAUUGGAAACUGCCAGGCUGGAGUGUCGGAGGGGCAGGCGGAAUUCCUAGUGUAGCGGUGAAAUGCGUAGAUAUUAGGAGGAACACCAGUGGCGAAGGCGGCCUGCUGGGCUCUAACUGACGCUGAGGCUCGAAAGCGUGGGUAGCAAACAGG